AGCAGCCGCGGUAAUUCCAGCUCCAAUAGCGUAUAUUAAAGUUGUUGCAGUUAAAAAGCUCGUAGUUGAAUUUCGGGGUCUGUCCAUUGGUCGGGCUUCACGGUCCGUACAGGUGUGAUGGGUUCCUACCUUCUGAAUAACCAGCAUGCCAUUUAGUUGGUGCGCCGGGGAAGCAGAGCUAUUACCUUGAAAAAAUUAGAGUGCUUAAAGCAGGCUAGUGCUUGAAUAGAUUAGCAUGGAAUAAUAAAAUAGGACGGCAUGGUUCUAUUUUGUUGGUUUCUAGGAUCACCGUAAUGAUUAAUAGGGAUAGUUGGGGGCAUUAGUAUUCAAUUGUCAGAGGUGAAAUUCUUGGAUUUAUUGAAGACUAACUUCUGCGAAAGCAUUUGCCAAGGAUGUUUUCAUUAAUCAAGAACGAAAGUUAGGGGAUCGAAGACGAUCAGAUACCGUCGUAGUCUUAACCAUAAACUAUGCUGACUAG
rnacentral:rRNA from 1 species